rnacentral:rRNA from 1 species
UACGGAGGGGGCUAGCGUUGUUCGGAAUUACUGGGCGUAAAGCGCACGUAGGCGGCUUUGCAAGUCAGAGGUGAAAGCCCGGGGCUCAACCCCGGAAUUGCCUUUGAGACUGCAUCGCUAGAAUUGUGGAGAGGUGAGUGGAAUUCCGAGUGUAGAGGUGAAAUUCGUAGAUAUUCGGAAGAACACCAGUGGCGAAGGCGACUCACUGGACACAUAUUGACGCUGAGGUGCGAAAGCGUGGGGAGCAACAGGG